GACGAACGCUGGCGGCGUGCUUAACACAUGCAAGUCGAACGGAAAGGCCCUGCUUUUGUGGGGUGCUCGAGUGGCGAACGGGUGAGUAACACGUGAGUAACCUGCCCUUGACUUUGGGAUAACUUCAGGAAACUGGGGCUAAUACCGGAUAGGAGCUCCUGCUGCAUGGUGGGGGUUGGAAAGUUUCGGCGGUUGGGGAUGGACGCGCGGCUUAUCAGCUUGUUGGUGGGGUAGUGGCUUACCAAGGCUGUGACGGGUAGCCGGCCUGGGAGGGUGACCGGCCACAUUGGGACUGAGAUACGGCCCAGACUCCUACGGUAGGCAGAAGUGGGGAAUAUUGCACAAUGGGCGGAAGCCUGAUGCGGCAACGCCGCGUGCGGAAUGACGGCCUUCGGGUUGUAAACCGCUUUCGCCUGUGACGAAGCGUGAGUGACGGUAAUGGGUAAAGAAGCACCGGCUAACUACGUG
rnacentral:rRNA from 1 species